ACAAACUUGGUCAUUUAGAGGAAGUAAAAGUCGUAACAAGGUCUCCGUUGGUGAACCAGCGGAGGGAUCAUUAGAGAGUAUAAAAACUCCCAAACCCAUGUGAACAUACCUAGCGUUGCCUCGGCGGCUUCGGCCGUCAAAGGAGGCCCCUAUAAACUCUUGUUGUACCUUGAAACUCUGAAUCUUAAAGCAAAUAAGUUAAAACUUUCAACAACGGAUCUCUUGGUUCUGGCAUCGAUGAAGAACGCAGC
rnacentral:misc_RNA from 1 species